UGCUUUUGCUUCUCCUCAAUUUUAUAUACUAUGAAACGGUAGGUCCUUUUCGCCUUCAAUUCUAAGAAUUUCAACUUGCAAUCAUCAUGCACUGCCAUACCUGAAGCUGCAUUUGCCUAGAAGUACAUAAUCGCCACAAGCAAAACAUUAUAAACAGAGGUGAUAACAUUAUGUAGUAACACAGUUGAGCAACUUCAAUGAUUGUCACAUAAUAGAUAUACUUGGCAGUGAAAUCGACUCCUCGUCCAAAAUUAAUUUAGAGAAAGACAGAAAGCAAUCCUUCCCACAUGAAGUAACUCUUCUGUAACAUAAAAGAAUUUACACUACGAUACUAACUGCCGAACUGCUCCCUCAUGCUGAGUAUUUGGUGGCGACUCAUCAUGGGUUAGUAUCAAAUCAAGGAUCGAAUACCAAAUUCUCCAAUAAAAGAUGCAUCCAAGCCCAGUUUGCAGAUCAAAAGCGCUCAUCAAGGAAUGCCAACCAAAGGAAACGUGCACCUAGGCAAACAAAAAGCAGCCACCUAUAAACUAAGGAAAGCAAGAAGUCACCCAGCCAGCCCACAAAAAGAGCAACCCUGCAUUUUGUCCGAUGUUCAAAUCCAAGGCACUCGUGCCAAUCGAAAGCAUGCGAGAUAGUCAAAGACAAGAAUCGACGAAAUCUGAGUCUUCAGUAGUAUGUCCAAACAUGUGUAAAUUCUGAUAAACUCAGUUUAAAAAGAAUUAAUUGGCCAAAAACAUUGCUAAUUGGGCAUCAAAAUAGCUCCCUCGGUUUUCUAUCUGUCAUCUCUUUCUCCUAUCAAAUCAACCAACUUUUCGGUUCAUUGCUGUUACAACAGAAUUGGUUACAUCUCUUAAAAGAGAAUCUUGCUAACCAAACAAACUUUACAGCAUUCACUUUCACAUGCUUUGGUCUUUGCUUGGAAUUACAAUUCUCAGCAUUUCCUCAAACUAGAAUACCGGAGAAGAUGGCCUGUGCAAACUCAUCGCAUUCAUCAGUGACCACUCGGCCAUCCAUCGCGAACGCGCAUCAUCACGCAGCUCCGAAGCAUUAAGACAGAGAAAAACCGAACAAGAAACCGCCGCGAUGAGAGGUCGGAGAUGCACCGAAUCGAAGGCAAAAAGGACGCCCCGAAUCAGUACGCACUCAAAUCCGUUGGGAAAAAUUCCCGAUUAUCAACAACGUCGUUCAAGAGAAUAGCAGAAAAAUACGAGAAAUGCCGCCGCGAUGGCAUGGAAAUCGGAGAAGUCGGAGCAGACGACGGAGACGGUGACCGAGAUCGCGAGCUCCAUUAGACGGACGGUAAAGACGACUCACCAUUGUGCCUCGGGAACGGAGCAGGGAACCGGAAGUGAGAGGAAGACGGUGGAGGAAAUCUAGGGCUCCAGAGGGGCAGAGAAAGGAUAGAAAAUGGGAUAGAAGAAUGCAGAGUUCCUUCGAGUAGGCCUCUUUGCCUUCGCAGUGGACCGGUCUCGAUUGACCAAAGGAGGUGACUGGUCAAAACGGGUUUUUCUUCAACGUUGAAGUGGUCUUCUUAAUACCCAACAACCUUGAUCAAUAACACUAUUUGGUUAUUAAUAAUUAGUUUAAGAGAAUGAAUUGGAAAAUUUUUUGCAACCUGUCCAGUUCUACGGGGAAGAUUGUUGCUGCCGCCAACAAGGGUGCUCGCCCCCAAGAGGAAACGCAACCAUCUCGCUAAGCUCUUGGUUAGCGUCCGAAUUUGGCAUCUCUUGUAUGCGUAGGCGUGCACAUGAAGAGAGAAAGGGAGAUAAUCGCACGUUGAUGGUCGACGUUCUUGUGAUCGUAUUCUAUUUUAGAGAUUGGUUGUGUAGGUUGAAAUUGGGUCUAAUACGAGCUUCUUAUCAAACCCAUUCUAACAAAGGAAUGGACAGAGGCAAAUAGGACCCAGCUUAAAAGAAGGAACUGGGGGAGAGAGAGAGUGGGGGAAGAAAGACAGGAUCUCAAGAUCAAGAAUUUCCAGAGCGUAAACUUGCAAGUAAGCUGCAGAGAACACGCGAUCUCUCAGCUUCAAAGAGACGCUAACGUAGACAGAACGAUAGAGACAGAGUCGUCCCCAACAAAAAGCUACAAGAACAAAUCCUCACCUCCACCUAGGGGAUCAGAGUCGCAUGAACGAGCACAAAGAAUCGAAUGUUUGCCAAAGGGAACAUACGGAGGCUCAAAGUUAAGAGAAUCCCGACACUAAUUAUUAAGCAUCACGGUACUUCCGGCCAGCCCCAGAAGUCACGCUGCUAUGAUUGCCAUAGGUUCAAGUUAAAGUCAUCACUCUGGACAAGCAUGAACAUCCAUCAAACAAACACAUACAAAACUCAUCAGGACAUGCAAGGAGGUAGCUAGAUAUCUAGCAAAUGUCUCAGCAUAUAUAGGCAUGUCCUCAAGUUAAAACCUCUUGUAUCCACUGGGGAAGAAAGAGAGACAAAUUGGCAAACAUUGGGAGCGUAUACACUCCAUAAACCACAACAUACAACGCUGAACGUCGCAAUCCCGAAAACAGCAACCAUUACAACAUAUAAUGAUCCUGCGCCUUAACUAGCGCUAAAGAUAAGAUGGAAGACUUCUUUGACAAGCCAACACGUAAAAUAACUGCCAGUCCUAUGUCCCAAGUGUCCCGAGAGAUGCAAAUAUGGCACAUAUGGAAACCGGAAUGGUAUGAAGAGCCUUGGCUGCAUAUGAAACUUUACAUUCAAGUGGAGCGGCUUUUAAUAACAUCUAGGCCCAUUUCGGUUGGAUCAGUAGCCUGCAACUCAAUCUGGAUACCAUCCAACUCUCUCUUGAACCUGUCCUUAGAACUUGCAUAAAUCAUCUUGUUUCUCACUUUAGAAGUAUCAGGAGACCUGCACGUAAAGUGAAGAUGAGUUAAAGAAAACUUCAACAAACUAAAAAAAGAAUUCGAAAAGUGCAUCGCCGGCUAUUACCAGGCAAUGAAGAUAAUCCUGCUCUUUGGAACAUUCUCUUCAGUCAUGAAAUCAAAGUCAUACACAGCAUAUCUGCACUCAUCAGCAGGAAGGCUUGCAGUGAAAUCUUCAUAACUAUUUGCAGGUUCUCCAAGUUUUUCAACGAUCACUUGCUUUUGCUUCUCUUCAAUCUUGUAUACUAUGAAACGGUAGGUCCUUUUCGCCUUCAACUCUAAGAACUUCAACUUGCAGUCGUCAUGCACUGCCAUACCGGAAGCUGCGUUUGCCUAAAAGCAUAUUGAUGAUAGAGAUAAGACAGCAGAUUGGGCAAGUGGAACCAAAUUAUGAAACCAAAACAUACACAUUAACAAAAUUGAGCCACUUUAGAAUGACAGUCACGCGAUAGAUCUAACUGACAAUGGACAUUUUCUCCUCCUUCGUUUUUAACACGAGGAAAGGAAGAUGGAGACCUAUCUAUUGCACCUUUGUAACAUAUGUCAAUUUCUCACUCUGCUAGCAACAGCUCCCUCAUCUUGAAUAUUUAAUGGCAACUCGUGAUAGUGUUCAGAUUCCAAGAAUGUUGCAUGGUCAAAUAAAAAGGAUCAAAUACCAAAUGCUACAUGAACAGAUGCACACAUCAUCCACUUAAAACACAAAAGUUCCCUACAAUGAACAAUAUGUGCUACCAAAUUUACAGUGGCCAUUUUCCAGAACCAGAAGCAAGAAAUCAUCCUGCACCCGGGAAAGGUGAGAUGGCAUUUUAAAACAAGAAAGGCAAAGAUUGAACUGCUCAAAGCCAUGGCACUUGCUGGGCCAUAUCAAAAGCACAUGAGAUAGUUAAAGACCACAGCAAGCGCAAUCUGGGGUUUUAACCGAAGUUGUAAGCAUUUGCAAGUGCAGAUGAAUUGAGUGUGAGUCAAGAAGAUCUGUUAGCCUUUUAAGGGACUAAGCAGGCAUUUCAACUAGCUCCGUUGUUUUUCCAUUGUUCAUUUUCCCAUGCAGAUAGAUCGACUUUUCCACGCUCACCAAAGCCAAAUUCAGUUUCUUAGACACGACAUACGCUGUUAAUACUAUGGUACAAUCUCAAAGAUAAUCUCAAACGCCAACGAAGCUUUCCCAUCUAUCAUUCACUUCCAAGGAUCUGCUAUUGCUUUAGUUCUUCAGUUUCGAACAUUUAUUCAAAUAAUAACCAGAGGAACUGCCACGGUUCCACAAAGUCCCCUCGGCCCUGGGCAUUUCAAAAGUCGGCACAUCUUUUCAUCACUUAAUCAUCGUUCAAGAAACGUUUGUUUUUUGCUUUCACAAGCUUUCUAGCCCCGGAUGCUCCGCAUGUAAAACCGACACAUCAUCAGACAGCUCGGGAGCACACGCGUGGCGACAGAUCGAACAAGAAACCCCGACCACGAUUGGGGGAAAAGAAAAAAAUCAGCCGCACCGCAUCGGACGACAGAUCGCCCUCGAAUCCACCACAUCGGACCCAGAUCGGACCGAAAAACCCCCGAUUACCAACCGAAUCUACAAGGGGACCGCGCGAAAAUCGGGAGAAAACCGGCAUCCAGCAACCGCGCGGCUCGUUCGGCAACGAACCCGCGUCGAGAAAAAAAGUGACAAGGCAGAUAUAAGAGGAAUUGACCAGGUGAUGCAGGAGGAGCACAGAAGAGUC
rnacentral:lncRNA from 1 species